rnacentral:tRNA from 1 species
GGGCCAUUAGCUCAGCCUGGCAGAGCACCUGACUUUUAAUCAGGUUGUCGGAGGUUCAAAUCCUCCAUGGCUCACCA